CGCCACGCCCGCUCAAGAACUACAAAGGAAUUGGACGGGGCCCGCACAAGCGGAGGAGCAUGUGGUUUAAUUCGAUGAUACGCGAGGAACCUUACCUGGGCUCGAACGUAAGAUGACUGUAGGUGAAAGCUUACAUCUCUUCGGAGCAUUUUUACGAGGUGCUGCAUGGUUGUCGUCAGCUCGUGCCGUGAGGUGUCGGGUUAAGUCCCAUAACGAGCGCAACCCUACCUUUAGUUGCCAUCAGGUAAUGCUGGGGACUCUAAAGGAACUGCCUACGCAAGUAGUGAGGAAGGCGGGGAUGACGUCAAAUCAGCACGGCCCUUACGUCCAGGGCUACACACGUGCUACAAUGGCCGAUACAGAGGACAGCUACCUGGUGACAGGAUGCAAAUCUCCAAAGUCGGUCUCAGUUCGGAUCGGAGUCUGCAACCCGACUCCGUGAAGUUGGAUUCGCUAGUAAUCGCGCAUCAGCCAUGGCGCGGUGAAUACGUUCCCGGGCCUU
rnacentral:rRNA from 1 species